rnacentral:rRNA from 1 species
CAGUAGCCACGGGAAUACGGAGGGAGCUAGCGUUGUUCGGAAUUACUGGGCGUAAAGCGCACGUAGGCGGUUAUUCAAGUCAGAGGUGAAAGCCCGGGGCUCAACCCCGGAACUGCCUUUGAAACUAGAUGACUAGAAUCUUGGAGAGGUCAGUGGAAUUCCGAGUGUAGAGGUGAAAUUCGUAGAUAUUCGGAAGAACACCAGUGGCGAAGGCGACUGACUGGACAAGUAUUGACGCUGAGGUGCGAAAGCGUGGGGAGCAAACAGGAUUAGAUACCCGAGUAGUCCCUGUCUCUUAUAC